rnacentral:rRNA from 1 species
CAAUAGCGUAUAUUAAAGUUGUUGCGGUUAAAAGCUCGUAGUUGGAUUUCUGUCGAGGGCGGGCGGUCCGCACUAUGUGCGUGUAUCUUGUUCGGUCUUGGCAUCCUCUUGGGGAAUGCUUCUGUGCUUGAUUGCAUGGGGUGGAAUUCAAGACUUUUACUUUGAGGAAAUUAGAGUGUUCACGGCAAGCUACCGCUUUGAAUACAUUAGCAUGGAAUAAUAAUAUAGGGCGUAAGUUCUAUUUUGUUGGUUUCUAGGACAUACGCAAUGAUUAAUAGGGACAAUUGGGGGCAUUCGUAUUAACGCGUCAGAGGUGGAAUUCUUAGAUUGCGUUACGACGAACUACUGCGAAAGCAUUUGCCAAAGAUGUUUUCAUUGAUCAAGAACGAAAGUAUGGGGAUCGAAGACGAUCAGAUACCAU